rnacentral:rRNA from 1 species
AGAGUUUGAUCCUGGCUCAGAAUCAACGCUGGCGGCGUGCCUAACACAUGCAAGUCGAACGAGAAAGUGGAGCAAUCCAUGAGUAAAGUGGCGACCGGGUGAGUAACACGUGACUAACCUACCCUCGAGUGGGGAAUAACCUCGGGAAACCGAGGCUAAUACCGCAUAACAUCGCAAGAUCAAAGCAGCAAUGCGCUUGAGGAGGGGGUCGCGGCUGAUUAGCUAGUUGGUAGGGUAAUGGCCUACCAAGGCUGAGAUCGGUAGCCGGCCUGAGAGGGCGCACGGCCACACUGGAACUGAAACACGGUCCAGACUCCUACGGGAGGCAGCAGUGGGGAAUUUUGCGCAAUGGGGGAAACCCUGACGCAGCAACGCCGCGUGGAGGAUGAAGUCCCUUGGGACGUAAACUCCCUUCGACCGGGAAGAUACUGACGGUACCGGAAGAAGAAGCACCGGCUAACUCUGUGCCAGCAGCCGCGGUAAUACAGAGGGUGCGAGCGUUGUUCGGAAUUAUUGGGCGUAAAGGGCGCGUAGGCGGCGCGGUAUGUCACCUGUGAAAUCUCCUGGCUCAAC